UAAGUCGGUCGGAUGGUUACUCUUGGCCUGCGUAAGCGGCCCGGGAGAGGAAAGUCCGGGCACCGCAGAACAGGAUGCCCCAUAACGAGGGGACCUUACAAUCUGUAAGGAUGGAAAGUGCAACAGAAAGUAAACCGCCCCGCUUUUAGUGGGGUAAGGGUGAAAGGGUGGUGUAAGAGACCACAAGAUUCUGAAGAAAUUCGGAAUGCUGGUAAACCCCAUCCGGUGCAAGAUCGAAUAGUCUUCAAGAUGUUGUUCGCAUCAUAAUCUGUUUUGCAGAUUGAAGAAGCGGGUAGGUUGCUAGAUUAUCACGGCAACAUGAUGACUAGAUGAAUGACCAUCCCUUUGAUUCUUUGAGUCAAAGGACAGAACUCGGCUUAUAGACCGACUUAAUUU
rnacentral:RNase_P_RNA from 1 species